rnacentral:lncRNA from 13 species
UCGGCAGCAGGGCGGAGCGCGGCGGAGGGCAGGCGCGGCACCGGCGGGGACACGGGGGUGUGCCGUGAGAGGCGCCUCGCCAGGCUGCGGGCAGGGAGGGAGAGGGGACCGCGCGGCCGGCGGCCACAAUCUGACAGGGGCGCACGGGAGGCCGCGCGGGGAGGGCCGGGGGCGGGCCGAGGCGGGCCCGGCGGCCAGAUGGCGGGGGCUGCGGCCUGACGAGCGCCGCGUCAUUCGCGUCAGCCGGCGCGCUGCGGUAGGCCCCGCCCCUCCGUCCCCGGCCGCCGCGUGGGAGGGGCGGGGCCUGCGGCCCGCCGCCGCCUCAGGGAAGAGGAAGAAGGCCGCCGCUUAGCGCCCCGCCUCUCGCUUGGCGGGCCUAAGAGCGGAGGGGGCGGGCCAAGGGGGUCUGGGGGCGGGCCAAGGGGGUCUGGACGCAGUCACUUGUCCUCCCGCUGUCUUCCCGAAUCUCCCAGGAAUGCUAAUGUCACCCGAGGUUGCUGAGAGAAACGCUGAGCCGACCUUUCCGUUAGGCUAAAGCUCUGAAUUUUCAAACCCAGGAAUCACAGGGUCCGGGUCAUCGACUUUGCUAAAUAAUGCCUGGAAACCUGUUGCAGUCUCCUUUGAGAAAGCUAGUUUUAUGGUACCUGAAGGGCACUGGCCAUACCAGGCCCCUAAACCGGGUCACGGAUGUGGGAGAGACUAACUAGGGUGGCUCUCACUCUUCUGGCCUUUCCCUGAGGCUCGGGACCAGGAACGAGGUUCCAAGUAGCUGGAUUGAAAGUAUUCUGAUCUGAGGACUGGCAGUGCACAAGAGUGUCCCCCGCCCCACCCCCACCCGUAUGCAGCAUAAGGAAAUGAAGAAAAGACUGCCCGGGUCAAUAAACCUGGACGUGGCAAAUUUCAAAGAAAGUAAUUCAAACACAGGACUCUGCUUUGAGUGAUGAAGAGGCCCUGAAGCUGCAGAGAGGUUGCACAAACCAUGAUAAUGGCCAGCAUGGAUGGAGGGAGCAUCUGAGAUGUGCAGGGCACUGUGCUACAUCUCAGCUAACUCUAGGAGCUGUCAACCCGCCACAGCCUAGACAUCAUAAUGUACAUGCAACAGAAUGUUCCAAGAAACUUUCAGCUGAGAUCCUAAGACCCUGGACACGCAAUGCCAGAGUGAAGUGUGAUGACCACAACUGUGCAGGGCAUGCAGAAAGGAGAGGCAGAGAGCCAGUGAGACGAUGUCCCACCCCUCACCUGUGUCAGUGGAGACUGAAGGAAACUUGGAGAGUGUUUUGGAGAGAACUGCUGAUGUUCUGUGAGUCUCACUAUCUCUCCAUGUGGAAAUGCUGGAGGAUGAAACUAUCUAAACUCUCCUGA